UACAGAGGGGGCAAGCGUUAUUCGGAAUUAUUGGGCGUAAAGGACGCGUAGGCGGCUUUGCAAGUGACGGGUGAAAUCCCUCGGCUUAACCGAGGAACUGCCUGUCAAACUGCAUGGCUUGAGACCGGGAGAGGUGAGUGGAAUUCCCAGUGUAGCGGUGAAAUGCGUAGAUAUUGGGAGGAACACCAGUGGCGAAGGCGGCUCACUGGACCGGUACUGACGCUGAUGCGCGAAAGCGUGGGGAGCGAACAGG
rnacentral:rRNA from 1 species